rnacentral:snRNA from 1 species
AUCGCUUCUCGGCCUUUUGGCUAAGAUCGAAUGUAGUAUCUGUUCUCGUCAGCUUAAUAAUACUUUUUGUCUAUUAAGCAUAAUGCUGCUGUGAACAAUCAUGUACAAAUUUUGUGUUAACACAGGUUUUCACUUCUCUUGGGUAUACACCUAGGAGUGAAACUGCUAGGUUAUAUAGUAACGCUGUACAAUUUUUUGGCUAAUUGCC